GGACGAACGCUGGCGGCGUGCUUAACACAUGCAAGUCGAAUGGUAAGGCCCUUCGGGGUACACGAGUGGCGAACGGGUGAGUAACACGUGGGUGAUCUGCCCUGCACUUCGGGAUAAGCCUGGGAAACUGGGUCUAAUACCGGAUAGGACCAUGGACUUCACGGUUUGUGGUGGAAAGCUUUUGCGGUGUGGGAUGGGCCCGCGGCCUAUCAGCUUGUUGGUGGGGUAAUGGCCUACCAAGGCGACGACGGGUAGCCGGCCUGAGAGGGUGUCCGGCCACACUGGGACUGAGAUACGGCCCAGACUCCUACGGGAGGCAGCAGUGGGGAAUAUUGCACAAUGGGCGCAAGCCUGAUGCAGCGACGCCGCGUGAGGGAUGACGGCCUUCGGGUUGUAAACCUCUUUCAAUAGGGACGAAGCGCAAGUGACGGUACCUAUAGAAGAAGCACCGGCCAACUACGUG
rnacentral:rRNA from 1 species